UAGUGAGUUUGAUCCUGGCUCAGGAUGAACGCUGGCGGUCUGCUUAACACAUGCAAGUCGAACGCAAGUAGAAAUACUUGAGUGGCGGACGGUGAGUAACGCGUGAGAAUCUGCCUUCUGGUCGGGUACGAACCACUGGAAACGGUGGCUAAUACCGGAUAUGCCUAUGGGUGAAAGAUUAAUUGCCAGAAGAAGAGCUCGCGUCUGAUUAGCUAGUUGGAGAGGUAAAGGCUCACCAAGGCCACGAUCGAGUAGCUGGUCUGAGUAGGACGACCAGCCACACUGGAA
rnacentral:rRNA from 1 species